AGAGAUGGUUGGAAAACUAACAGAGGAAAGAAAUAUUUCCUUUUUCUUUAGAUUUAGAUUUAUAAUAUGACAAAGCUAAAAGAAAAGAUGGAAGCAAGCAAAGAUAUAUUCUCUUUUAGUUUCAUAUUAAGAAAUUCUGGUAGGCAUCUUUUUCUUUCUUUAUGAGAUGCUGUUUACAUUUUCAUUCUGUAUCCACCUGAAAGAAGAAGCGUAUCAGAACCAGAAAAGCUAUGGAGAAAAGCUUUUACAAGCAUCUCAAAGCUGUCAACAUAAUCAAUAUUAAAGGAAUGAUAAAAGCUAGAUUUGCAGGAUAGGCUGCAAGCAAUGUAUUACCAUUAAGGUUCUUCAAUAGUAAUUGCUAGUAUUUAAAGGGAUAUAAUAACACUUGACAGCCUAUAUUUUUGUUCUCCUCCUCUUGAUUAACAAUGGAACAUCAGCGAGAGAAACAGCACACCAGUAAUGACAAGAACCAGCCUAAACCGGGAAAGAAGAACAAAUGUUGUCCACACACGAAACCAAAAGGGAGUAGAGGCGAUAGAGGCUUUCUUGAAGGAUGCCUCUUCGCUUUGUGCUGCUGUUGGGUCUGUGACAUAUGCUUUGACACCACUGUUGUAAUUGGAUGAGAGACUACAGAUCAUCUUCAACACGCACGAUCCUUAUAUGUUGCCUGUAUUUUUAAUCUAAGAGAAAAUUACUUGUAUAUGUUGUGAUUGAACAAACUAUAUCAUAGUGUGAGUUGCUGAGAUUUAUGUAAUUCUUGGGUUGUGAGAUCAAGCUCAGGUUCUUGAGUCUGAUAGAUCUAUGUAUUGGUAACAGUUACUAAUAUUUGCUAUGUACAAGCACAGAGUUUCUUACUUUCAA